AUUGAACGCUGGCGGCAUGCCUUACACAUGCAAGUCGAACGGUAACAGGUCUUCGGAUGCUGACGAGUGGCGAACGGGUGAGUAAUACAUCGGAACGUGCCUAGUAGUGGGGGAUAACUACUCGAAAGAGUGGCUAAUACCGCAUGAGAUCUACGGAUGAAAGCAGGGGAUCGCAAGACCUUGUGCUACUAGAGCGGCCGAUGGCCGAUUAGGUAGUUGGUGGGAUAAAAGUUUACCAAGCCGACGAUCUGUAGCUGGUCUGAGAGGACGAUCAGCCACACUGGGACUGAGACACGGCCCAGACUCCUACGGGAGGCAGCAGUGGGGAAUUUUGGACAAUGGGCGAAAGCCUGAUCCAGCAAUGCCGCGUGCAGGAUGAAGGCCUUCGGGUUGUAAACUGCUUUUGUACGGAACGAAAAGCCCCGGGUUAAUACCCUGGGGUCAUGACGGUACCGUAAGAAUAAGCACCGGCUAACUACGUGCCAGCCGCCGCAGUAA
rnacentral:rRNA from 1 species